rnacentral:rRNA from 1 species
CACCGCCCGUCACAUCACGAAAGUGGGCUGUACUAGAAGUCGGUGCGCGAACCGCAAGGACGCAGCCGCCCAAGGUAUAACUCAUGAUUGGGGUG